AUUGAACGCUGGCGGCAUGCCUUACACAUGCAAGUCGAACGGUAACACGUCUUCGGAUGCUGACGAGUGGCGAACGGGUGAGUAAUACAUCGGAACGUGCCUAGUAGUGGGGGAUAACUACUCGAAAGAGUGGCUAAUACCGCAUGAGAUCUACGGUUGAAAGCAGGGGAUCGCAAGACCUUGUGCUACUAGAGCGGCCGAUGGCAGAUUAGGUAGUUGGUGGGAUAAAAGCUUACCAAGCCGACGAUCUGUUUCUGGUCUGAGAGGACGAUCAGCCACACUGGGACUGAGACACGGCCCAGACUCCUACGGGAGGCAGCAGUGGGGAAUUUUGGACAAUGGGCGAAAGCCUGAUCCAGCAAUGCCGCGUGCAGGAUGAAGGCCUUCGGGUUGUAAACUGCUUUUGUACGGAACGAAAAGCCCCGGGUUAAUACCCUGGGGUCAUGACGGUACCGUAAGAAUAAGCACCGGCUAACUACGUGCCAGCCGCCGCGGUAA
rnacentral:rRNA from 1 species